rnacentral:rRNA from 1 species
GUGGGGAAUUUUGGACAAUGGGCGCAAGCCUGAUCCAGCAAUGCCGCGUGCAGGAAGAAGGCCUUCGGGUUGUAAACUGCUUUUGUACGGAACGAAACGGCUCUGGUUAAUACCCGGGGCUAAUGACGGUACCGUAAGAAUAAGCACCGGCUAACUACGUGCCAGCAGCCGCGGUAAUACGUAGGGUGCAAGCGUUAAUCGGAAUUACUGGGCGUAAAGCGUGCGCAGGCGGUUUUGUAAGACAGGGGUGAAAUCCCCGGGCUCAACCUGGGAAUGGCGAUUGUGACGGCAAAGCUGGAGUGCGGCAGAGGGGGAUGGAAUUCCGCGUGUAGCAGUGAAAUGCGUAGAUAUGCGGAGGAACACCGAUGGCGAAGACAAUCCCCUGGGCCUGCACUGACGCUCAUGCACGAAAGCGUGGGGAGCAAACAGGAUUAGAAACCCCUGUAGUCC